AGCGAACGCUGGCGGCAGGCUUAACACAUGCAAGUCGAACGCCCCGCAAGGGGAGUGGCAGACGGGUGAGUAACACGUGGGAACGUACCCUUUGGUUCGGAAUAACUUGGGGAAACUCAAGCUAAUAACGGAUAAGCCCUUAGGGGGAAAGGUUUACUGCCGAAGGAUCGGCCCGCGUCUGAUUAGCUAGUUGGUGAGGUAAUGGCUCACCAAGGCGACGAUCAGUAGCUGGUCUGAGAGGAUGAUCAGCCACACUGGGACUGAGACACGGCCCAGACUCCUACGGGAGGCAGCAGUGGGGAAUAUUGGACAAUGGGGGCAACCCUGAUCCAGCCAUGCCGCGUGAGUGAUGAAGGCCUUAGGGUUGUAAAGCUCUUUUACCCGGGACGAUAAUGACUGUACCGGGAGAAUAAGCCCCGGCUAACUUCGUGCCAGCCGCCGCGGUAA
rnacentral:rRNA from 1 species